GUGCCAGCCGCCGCGGUAAAACGUAGGUGGCAAGCGUUAUCCGGAUUUACUGGGCGUAAAGCGUGUGCAGGCGGUUUAGUAAGUGGUGUAUGAAAUCUCCGCGCUUAACGUGGAGGGGUUAUGCCAGACUGCUGAACUCGAACCCAUCAGAGGGACGUGGAAUUCCGGGUGUAGUGGUGAAAUGCGUAGAGAUCCGGAGGAACACCAGAGGCGAAAGCGGCGUCCUGGGGUGAGGUUGACGCUCAGACACGAAAGCAUGGGGAGCGAACGGGAUUAGAUACCCCCGUAGUCC
rnacentral:rRNA from 1 species